rnacentral:rRNA from 1 species
CGAGCUGACGCAGCACGCCGCGUGAGGGAUGAAGGCCUUUGGGCUGUAAACCUCUUUUCUCAAGGAAGAAGACCUGACGGUACUUGAGGAAUAAGCCACGGCUAAUUCCGUGCCAGCAGCCGCGGUAAUACGGGAGUGGCAAGCGUUAUCCGGAAUUAUUGGGCGUAAAGCGUCCGCAGGCGGCCGUUUAAGUCUGUUGUUAAAUCGUGGAGCUCAACUCCAUCACGGCAAUGGAAACUGUUCGGCUUGAGUAUGGUAGGGGCAGAGGGAAUUUCCGGUGUAGCGGUGAAAUGCGUAGAUAUCGGGAAGAACACCAGUGGCGAAAGCGCUCUGCUGGACCAUUACUGACGCUCAUGGACGAAAGCCAGGGGAGCGAAAGGGAUUAGAUACCCCUGUAGUCCUGGCCGUAAACGAUGAACACUAGAUGUUGGGGGAAUCGACCCCCUCGGUGUCGUAGCUAACGCGUUAAGUGUUCCGCCUGGGGAGUACGCACGCAAGUGUGAAACUC